AGUGGAUGGGGAGCAACCUAGUUGUGCGUGUGUAAAGGUAGUGCCAAGAAAAGCGAUGAUCAUGUUGAAAAUCAAUUCCCGGUACCCGAAACCGACACAGGUGGGCAAGUAGAGAAUACUAAGGGGCGCGAGGUAACUCUCUCCAAGGAACUCGGCAAAAUGACCCCGUAACUUAGGGAGAAGGGGUGCCACCGAGAGGUGGUCGCAGUGAAGAGGCCCAGGCGACUGUUUAGCAAAAACAUAGGUCUCUGCAAACUCGGAAGAGGAGGUAUAGGCGCUGACGCCUGCCCAGUGCCGGAAGGUUAAAGAAGUUGGUCAGUUUUAGGAUGAAGCUAGCGACUGAAGCCCCGGUGAACGGCGGCCGUAACUAUAACGGUCCUAAGGUAGCGAAAUUCCUUGUCGGGUAAGUUCCGACCCGCACGAAAGGCGUAACGAUCUGGGCGCUGUCUCGGAGAGAGGCUCGGCGAAAUAGGAUUGUCUGUGAAGAUACGGACUACCUGCAUUUGGACAGAAAGACCCUAUGAAGCUUUACUAUAGCUUGGAAUUGUGUUCGGGCUUCCUGUGCGCAGGAUAGGUGGGAGGCGUAGAAGGUAUUCUUGUGGGGAUACUGGAGCCAACGGUGAGAUACCACUCUCAGGAGGCUAGAUUUCUAACUUAAUUAAGGACAGUUUCAGGUGGGUAGUUUGACUGGGGCGGUCGCCUCCAAAAAGGUAACGGAGGCGUACAAAGGUUCCCUCAGACUGGUUGGAAAUCAGCCGAAGAGUGCAAAGGCAGAAGGGAGCUUGACUGCGAGAAGUACAGUUCGAGCAGGGUGGAAACACGGUCUUAGUGAUCCGACGGUGCUGUGUGGAAGGGCCGUCGCUCAACGGAUAAAAGUUACUCUAGGAUAACAGGCUGAUCUCCCCCAAGAGUUCACACCGACGGGGAGGUUUGGCACCUCGAUGUCGGCUCAUCGCAACCUGGGGCGGAAGUACGUCCCAAGGGUUGGGCUGUUCGCCCAUUAAAGCGGUACGUGAGCUGGGUUCAGAACGUCGUGAGACAGUUCGGUCCAUAUCCGAUGUAGGCGUGAGAAUAUUGAGAGGAGCCUUCCUUAGUACGAGAGGACCGGGAAGGACGCACCGCUGGUGUACCUGUUAUGAUGCCAAUUGUAAACGCAGGGUAGCCAAGUGCGGAGAGGAUAACCGCUGAAAGCAUCUAAGUGGGAAGCCCACCUCAAGAUGAGUAUUCUGGUGUAAGGUCACGGGAAGACGACCCGUAAAUAGGCACGAGGUGGAAGUGCAGAGAUGUAUGAAGCCGAAGUGUACUAAUAGACCGUCGGCUUGA
rnacentral:rRNA from 1 species